CAGCCGCCGCGGGAAUACAGAGGGUGCGAGCGUUAAUCGGAAUUACUGGGCGUAAAGCGCGCGUAGGCGGUUUGGUAAGUCAGAUGUGAAAUCCCUGGGCUCAACCUGGGAACUGCAUUUGAUACUGCCUGGCUAGAGUAUCGAAGAGGGAAGUGGAAUUUCCGGUGUAGCGGUGAAAUGCGUAGAUAUCGGAAAGAACACCAGUGGCGAAAGCGACUUCCUGGUCGAAUACUGACGUUCAUGUGCGAAAGCGUGGGGAGCAAACAGGAUUAGAUACCCCGGUAGUCCCUGUCUCUUAUAC
rnacentral:rRNA from 1 species